UGAAACUCGCCUACAUGAAGCUGGAGUUACUAGUAAUCGCAGAUCAGAAUGCUGCGGUGAAUGCGUUCCCGGGUCUUGUACACACCGCCCGUCACACCACGGGAGUUGGAGACGCCCGAAGCCGAUUAUCUAACCUUUUGGAAGAAGUCGUCGAAGGUGGAAUCAAUAACUGGGGUGAAGUCGUAACAAGGUAGCCGUAUCGGAAGGUGCGGCUGGAUCACCUCCUUUCUAAGGAGA
rnacentral:rRNA from 1 species